AUGACGGUACCGNAAGAAUAAGCACCGGCUAACUACGUGCCAGCAGCCGCGGUAAUACGUAGGGUGCGAGCGUUAAUCGGAAUUACUGGGCGUAAAGCGUGCGCAGGCGGUUAUGUAAGACAGAUGUGAAAUCCCCGGGCUCAACCUGGGAACUGCAUUUGAGACUGCAUGGCUAGAGUGCGGUAGAGGGGGAUGGAAUUCCNCGUGUAGCAGUGAAAUGCGUAGAUAUGCGGAGGAACACCGAUGGCGAAGGCAACCCCCUGGACCNNUACUGACGCUNAUGCUNCGAAAGCGUGGGGAGCAAA
rnacentral:rRNA from 1 species